rnacentral:lncRNA from 1 species
NNNNNNNNNNNNNNNNNNAAAAGAGGAUUUGGUGGUGUAUGAUGGAUGACUGGCCUGCUGGGCUUUUGACUUGCAGGGGGUUUGUAAGUCCCAUCUGUGUUUUGUGUUUCUUACUGGCAAAUUUCUUCUUUUUGGCUGGGAAUGCUUAACCAAUGCCUGUACAGUCAUUGUACCUUGGAAGUAGUUAAUUUGCUGUGUAUUUCAGUGUCUCAGGGCAGAAGGGACUGCAGCCUUGUCUCAGAAGAGACUUUGGGCUUUGGAUAUUUGAGUAAAUGCUGGAAUGAGUUGAGAUUUGGGGGACUCUAGGGAAGGCAUCAUUGCGUUUUGCAGUAUGAAAAAGACAUGAGAUUUAGGGGGACAAGGGACAGAAUAAUAUGUUUUGGCUCUGUGUCUCUACCAAAACUCGUGGAAUUUUAAUGGGAAAUGUUAAAGGUGGGGGCUGGUGGAAGGUGAUUUAAUCAUGGUGGAGCAUGGAGGGUGGAUGCUGGGGGUGGUGUGGAGGUUUGGGGCUAUAGGUGGGUAGGGAGUGAUGGGGGAUUGUGGUGCAUUUGUGGCUGAAAGGCAGGGGUGGGGGGUGGAUCCUUCACAAACGGACAUUUGAGUAAAUGCUGGAAUGAGUUCAGAUAUUGUGGGACCGUAGAGAACACAUCAUUAUAUUUUACAGUAUAAGAAGGACAUGAGGUUGGGGACCAAGGGGAGAAUAAUAUGAUUUGGCUCUGUGUCCCUUCCAAAACUCAUGUGGAAUUGUAAUGGGGAAUGUUAAAUAUGGGGCUUGGUAGAUGGUGAUUUAAUCAUGGUAGAGAAAGGGGAUUGGAAGGUGGAUGUGGGAGGAUGGGGGUUCAUGGUGUGGGUGAGGCUGAAACAUGGGGAUGGGUGGCAGAACCUUCACAAAUGGUUAAAUACUAUCUCCUUAAUGCAGUCUGUGUGAUAGUGAGUUCUCAUGAUAAAUGAAUGCUGUCCUGCUGGGUUUUGGACUCGGAUUGGGCCUGUGUCCCAUUUGUGUUAUUUUUCUGGGAAAAUCUUCCCUUUGGGUUGAGAAAGCUUACCCAGUGCCUGUGCCAUCACUAUAACUUGAAAGAAAAGAAUUUUCUUUUACAUUCAGGGACUCAUAGGCAGAAGAGAUUGCAGCCUUGUCUUGGAUGGGACUUGAACUUACUUCAUUUGAGUUACUGCUGGAGGAGUGAACAAGAGCCAGGAGACCCGGGAGGGAGCUUGUUGGGCAGGUCUGGAGAUGGCAAGGGAGGGAUCCUGCUUGGAUGAAAAGUCUUCAGGGACUGUCUCAGGUUACACUCAGGUGCCCUCAGAGCUAAUGUGUUCAGAGGUCUUGUCUCCAGGAUGAAAAUGGGAAGGAGUUGUCAUAUGAGGACAUAUAAAUGGAGGCUGGCAUCUUCAUGAGUACCAGCAGUGGUCCUGGUGUGGGUCUCUCCAUCCAGGGACAUGGUGGAUGGACACUACGUCACUCCAUUCUGCCCUUCCUUUCCCUCCCCCCAUUCUCCCGAGGGCCUCAGUGCAUGGGCGC